AUUACACCACAUUCUA
rnacentral:tRNA from 1 species